AUGUGUAAAUCGCCCAUUACCACCUUUUACAAGAACGAGAACCAGCAAUCACCGCACUAUAAAGCCCUUGCAUGCAGAAUCAUUCAUCACUCAGGUCAGGAACUUUGGUUAAGGUCUGUAAACAGAGCUGAAGAGAUGCAAUCGUGUGAUUUCUGCGGAUACUGCCCUGGCGAGAAUACCCACGGUGUCUCAUUCAAAUUCCCUUUAAAAGAGGAACAUCGUCGUCACUGGAUAGUGAAUAUGGGGAAGGACGCGGAAUGGACUCCAUCUGGAUCCUCGUCUCUGUGCUCCGCUCAUUUCACUCCAGAUUGCUUUGAAUCCGGAUCAGCGCGUUUACACUCAGACGCGAUUCCGACUCUAUUUAAUUUCACACAGUCUAAGAAUCAGAUGCUAAAGGACACUGAAACUCUCCCACCACAGCAAGGAUCUACUGAAUCCUCUGAGUCUUCCAGAUCAUCCUGCUCUGACUGCCAUAAGCAUCUGCAGGCCACGGAAAGAAAUUACCAGCUGAAAUUAGCUGCUGCUCAGCUUCAGAUAAAAGAGUACAAGAAGAAUCUAGCAGAGGAGUCACGGAAAGCAGCACAAUGGCAGAAGCGAGCAAUAGUUUUGCAGAGCGCUAUCAGAGCAAUGAAACAAAGGGGGUCAAUACCUGCUUCAAGAAAAACAUCUACACCUAAAAACAAUCAUUUGGACUGA
rnacentral:lncRNA from 1 species